UGACUUACUGGUGGACGGGUGAGUAACGCGUGGGUAACCUGCCUCAUACAGGGGGAUAACAGUUGGAAACGACUGCUAACACCGCAUAAGCCUACAGUCUCGCAUGAGACAGUAGGAAAAUAUUUAUAGGUAUGAGAUGGACCCGCGUCUGAUUAGCUAGUUGGUGAGGUAACGGCCCACCAAGGCGACGAUCAGUAGCCGACUUGAGAGAGUGAUCGGCCACAUUGGGACUGAGACACGGCCCAAACUCCUACGGGAGGCAGCAGUGGGGAAUAUUGCACAAUGGGGGAAACCCUGAUGCAGCGACGCCGCGUGAGUGAAGAAGUAUUUCGGUAUGUAAAGCUCUAUCAGCAAGGAAGAUAAUGACGGUACUUGACUAAGAAGCCCCGGCUAACUACGUGCCAGCAGCCGCGGUAAUACGUAGGGGGCAAGCGUUAUCCGGAUUUACUGGGUGUAAAGGGAGCGUAGGUGGUAUGGUAAGUCAGAUGUGAAAGCCCAGGGCUCAACCCUGGGACUGCAUUUGAAACUAUCGAACUAGAGUGCAGGAGAGGUAAGUGGAAUUCCUAGUGUAGCGGUGAAAUGCGUAGAUAUUAGGAGGAACACCAGUGGCGAAGGCGGCUUACUGGACUGUAACUGACACUGA
rnacentral:rRNA from 1 species